rnacentral:rRNA from 1 species
GGCGAACGGGUGAGUAACGCGUAAACAACUUGCCUCAGAGAUUGGGACAACAUUGGGAAACCAGUGCUAAUACCAAAUAAUGCAGCGGGCUCUUCGGAGCACAGUUGUUAAAGUAGGCUUCGGCUUACACUUUGAGAUAGGUUUGCGUCCGAUUAGUUAGUUGGUAGGGUAAAAGCCUACCAAGACCAAGAUCGGUAGCUGGUCUGAGAGGAUGAUCAGCCACACUGGAAUUGAGAUACGGUCCAGACUCCUACGGGAGGCAGCAGUAAGGAAUUUUGCACAAUGGGCGAAAGCCUGAUGCAGCAACGCCGCGUGAACGAUGAAGUUUUUAGGAAUGUAAAGUUCUGUCGUAUGGGAAGAGAUCUUUCGAAUGUUAAUACCAUUCGUUAAUGACGGUACCAUACAAGAAAGCACCGGCUAACUUCGUGCCAGCAGCCGCGGUAAUACGAGGGGUGCUAGCGUUGUCCGGAUUUACUGGGCGUAAAGGGUACGUAGGCGUUUUAAUAAGUUGUAUGUUAAAUAUCUUAGCUUAACUAAGAAAAUGCAUCCAAAACUGUUAAAAUAGAGUUUGAGAGAGGAACGCAGAAUUCAUGGUGGAGCGGUGACAUGCGCAGAUAUCAUGAGGAAAGUCAAAUGCGAAGGCAGCCUUCUGGCUCAAAACUGACGCUGAGGUACGAAAGCGUGGGGAGCGAACAGGAUUAGAUACCCUGGUAGUCCACGUCGUAAACGAUGAGUAUUUGGUGCUGGGGGAUUCGACCCUUUCAGUGCCGUAGCUAACGCGAUAAAUACUC